rnacentral:rRNA from 1 species
GUGAUGAAGGCCUUAGGGUCGUAAAGCUCUUUCGCCUGUGAAGAUAAUGACUGUAGCAGGUAAAGAAACCCCGGCUAACUCCGUGCCAGCAGCCGCGGUAAUACGGAGGGGGUUAGCGUUGUUCGGAAUUACUGGGCGUAAAGCGCACCUAGGCGGAUCACAAAGUUGGGGGUGAAAUCCCAGGGCACAACCCUGGAACUGCCUCCAAAACUCCUGGUCUUCAGUUCGAGAGAGGUGAGUGGAAUUCCGAGUGUAGAGGUGAAAUUCGUAAAUAUUCAUGAGGAACACCAGUGGCGAAGGCGGCUCACUGGCUCGAUACUGACGCUGAGGUGCGAAAGUGUGGGGAGCAAACAGGAUUAGAUACCCUGGUAGUCCACACCGUAAACGAUGAAUGCCAGUCGUCGGGUAGCAUGCUAUUCGGUGACACACCUAACGGAUUAAGCAUUCCGCCUGGGGAGUACGGUCGCAAGAUUAAACUCAAAGGAAUUGACGGGGGCCCGCACAAGCGGUCGAGC